rnacentral:siRNA from 1 species
CCUACUGGUUAUGAUCUGCUG